rnacentral:rRNA from 1 species
AUUGAACGCUGGCGGCAGGCCUAACACAUGCAAGUCGAGCGGAGCGGCGGACGGGUGAGUAAUGCCUAGGUAUCUGCCUGGUCGUGGGGGAUAAGGUCCGGAAACGGGCGCUAAUACCGCAUCCUAUCAGCUGAGCAUAGGUCGGAUUAGCUAGUUGGUGGGGUAAAGGCCUACCAAGGCGACGAUCCGUAGCUGGUCUGAGAGGAUGAUCAGUCACACUGGAACGGAGACACGGUCCAGACUCCUACGGGAGGCAGCAGUGGGGAAUAUUGGACAAUGGGCGAAAGCCUGAUCCAGCCAUGCCGCGUGUGUGAAGAAGGUCUUCGGAUUGUAAAGCACUUUAAGUUGGGAGGCGUUACCAACAGAAUAAGCACCGGCUAACUUCGUGCCAGCCGCCGCGGUAAUUC